AGUCUCUAAGGUGCCACAAGUACUCCUUUUCUUUUUCCUUAAGUAUCCUCACACCUUCUUGUCAACUGUCUAAAUGGGCCAUCUUGAUUAUCACUACAAAAGUUUUUUUCUCCUGCUGAUAAUAGAUCAUCUGAACUAAUUAGCCUCCCACAGUUUGUGUGGCAACUUCCAACUU